GCGGGGGGGUGGGGGGCAGAUGACGCGGAUCGGAGAGGGCGCUCAGAGCUCCGAGCGCGCAGCCCAAGGACCUCCGAAGGCCCUCGGCAGCGGUCGUCCAGAGAUGACAGCACCAGACUCCGGUGCGGGAUUGGGGCAGCUGUCCGGGUCCACCGGGCUGCCGGGUCUCCGGUUCGCUCACCUUCUCCUGCGCGCGGGCCUGUCCAGCUGUUCUCUACAGGAUCCUUGCAGAGAUGGGAGGGUGACGCUCCAGAAGACCUUCUGAAAGGAGAUAUGUCCCUAAGCUUUGCCUCCUGGCUUCCAAACCUGCUGAUCCAGAUGUUCAGCUCCCAUCUUGAUCCAGUUUAACCAUGCCUUGCAGAAGUGGCCUAGGGAGUAGGCCAGUCACAGGGCCACCAAGUACCUCCAGGAUGUUUCCAAGGCUUCCAGGAAACAAGGUUUCCAGCAAAAACCAGUUGUUUUCUUUUGCUACCAGCAAACAAAACCUCUCCAAGAGCAAAAAUAAUAAUAAUAAUUAAGAUGAUUGACUUCUCUGGUGAACUGUGUAUGGUCUCCGGUGUUGCCGAAAGGUAGUAGACUGAGAAGAUGACAACAACAUAGGCUUCAGACCAGAAGACCUUAGCUCUGUUGUUAUGAGUUGUGUGAUCUUGGGCCAGUCACUGCCUGCUCCUUUUACAUGUAGCAAUAAUACCACCAGGCAAGGCUGUUGUUAAAGACUAGAGGUAGCUCUGACCGUCCUUGACCCAGGAUCUAGUUGCCCGGGUAGAUGGUAGUUACUCUUAUUAGAUAUCCUGUCCUGAAGGUCAGGAAUAGUGUCUCUUAGUUAAUCUGGUUUUUGGCCUCUUUGCUGGUGAGACACAGUAGGCUGACCUUUGCCAGCUUCACCGGUGGGUAAAUAGAGAUGCAAAAAAGCAAACUGUCCAGUACUCCUUCAGAAAAUCACUGUUGAGUUCCUUGGGAAGUGAGAUUCCAGCAUCUAGAAGUAUUCACUGGAAAUUUCCUAUAAUUAGCUUUAUCUAUGAAAAAUAAAUGGUUUACUAAAUAAAGUGCAGUGACAAGA